AUAAUGAUACUUCCGUAACUCGCGGCCCGGCCACCAUAAAGAAGGCGGGGAGGUGAAAAGCCUAUGA
rnacentral:ncRNA from 1 species